rnacentral:lncRNA from 1 species
GUCAGCGCCAAGGCUGUACUCAGAGGAGGCUGGAGGCCUGGGCCGCCGUGAGCCGAGACUCUCACAGCCCACCUGCGCGCAGCCCCAUCCCACUGGUGCCACACGGGAAAGAACUGCCUGUGCUGCUUCCACUCCUCAGGAGGGGCCGGGGGAGACUGAGCCACAAUCUCUGGAGCCCCCCAAGAGGGGCCCAGAACAGACCUUCCUCACAGAAGAAAGUAAGGGAGGGGACCCACCAGAACCUGCGUCUGGAGUCACCUCCUCAGAGUGCUUUUGCCUUGAAGCAUCUGUCUGCCACCCCGACACCAAUACAGUACGGCCUGAUCUUCCUCCUUCCGGCUGAAAACCACCAUGAACCCUCCCUUCCUGCAAUCAAGGUUCCGAGGCCUCCGCCGCGGCCAGCACGUCCCUCAGAGCCCCUUACGAGCAGGUGUCACGCCGCGGGAAGAACCAC